AUUUGUUGUUUGCGUCAGACUCUAGAAUCUAGUCUCUUCUGUCGAUAUGGAGUGGAGGAUGGUUUCCCUAGCUGGAAUGCCCAGAACAAAGGGCUGCUGUCUCAAGUUAUACAACUAAAAGAAAACAAAAUGGACCCACUAGAACAUAUCUGUACAACAGCAAGAUUAACUCUUUUUGCAAUUCAUUAAACUGCAAAUGCUGGAAAUAUGGAUUAAAACCAAAAUUAAACAAAAGUAAAAC